GGUCAGUGGAAGGAGGACCUUCUUACGUUGGAAGUCAGUAAAAGAAGGACCUUCUUAUGUUGGGGUCAGUGGAAGAAGGACCUCCUUAUGUGGGGGAGUCAGUGGAAGGACAUCCUUAGGUUGGGGGUCAGUGGAAGAAGGACCUUCUCAGGUUGGAAGUCAGUGGAAGAAGGCCCUCCUCAUUUUGGGGGUCAGUGGAAGGAGGACCUCCUUAUUGAGGGUAAGUGGAAGAAGGACCUUCUUACAUUGGGGCCAGUGGAAGAAUGACCUCCUUACGCUGGAAGUCAGUGAAAGAAGGACCUCCUUACAUUGAGGAUCAGUGGAGGAAGGAACCUUUUUAUGUUGGGGGUCAGUGGAAGAAGGAAAUUCUUACGGUGGGGGUUUGUGGAAGAAAGACCUUCUUACAUAGAGGGUCAGUGGACUAAAGGCCCUUUUAUAAUGGUAAUCAGUGGAAAAACGCCCUGUUACAUUGGCAGUCAGGGUAGUACAUACAUUAUUUGGCUCUGGUCCCACACUGGUAACUAAAGGAAAUUCUUAAGGAACCCUUAGUACCUUGGUUGAAAAAGGCUGGACUAAGUACAGGAACUCAUAAAAAAAAGAAUUCAGCUCUCCAAAGAUUGAUAAAAGAUUUUUUGGUUGCUAUAAGUUACCACACUGCACUUUUCUGCUUUUUGGAAUACCUUCAUUUUUCUUAGUGUUCACAUUUGGCAAUCUUUUAUAAUGGAAGAAACUAUUAUCACAAAAUAUAAUCUUCAGCAAAGUUUAUUGAAAUAUGGUAAUAUUUUAAAGCGUUACUACAGUGUGCAUGCAUUUACUUGAAAAUAUGUUCCACCAGCUCUUCUGUGUUGAUAUCACAAUGUGAGAGCUCACUUAGAAUUGGCAUAUGU